CAGCCGCCACGGUAAUACGUAGGUGGCAAGCGUUGUCCGGAAUUAUUGGGCGUAAGGGGCUCGCAGGCGGUUUCUUAAGUCUGAUGUGAAAGCCCCCGGCUCAACCGGGGAGGGUCAUUGGAAACUGGGAAACUUGAGUGCAGAAGAGGAGAGUGGAAUUCCACGUGUAGCGGUGAAAUGCGUAGAGAUGUGGAGGAACACCAGUGGCGAAGGCGACUCUCUGGUCUGUAACUGACGCUGAGGAGCGAAAGCGUGGGGAGCGAACAGGAUUAGAUACCCGCGUAGUCCCUGUCUCUUAUAC
rnacentral:rRNA from 1 species